GGUGCAGUCCAAGAUGGUCAGUGUGGGGACUCUGACAGAAAGGUUUGAGAAACGAACAUCAACCCCACUGCCCAGUCCUGCACACAGCGAUGAUGAAUCAUCCUCUGUUUUCAUGGACCAACCUAGUGAUGUGUCAUGGAGGCCAGAGGAGGAAACGAUGAGUCAGUCAUCUGACGAGGAACUGUCAAAAGAGCCAUUGCAGGAAUCUCACCGUGACCUCAAUGGUGCUGACAAGUUCAUUGUGUGCCAAAGCCAGCUGAUGUCCCUGUUUACAUUUUGCGCUGCCUGUUGUGGGGAAACCCAGGGAUACAUGGAGCAGCAGGAGGGAACUUAUAUAAAAAUAAAUUCUGUGCAACAUGUGGGUAUGAGCGUUAUUGGCAGAACCAGCCAAUGCUGCACCGAAACAUGCCUGCCUGCAACUUCUUACUGAGUGGGGCCAUCCACUUUUCGGGUUGCAUGGCUACCCAGACCAUAAGGAUGCUGAAGCUGUUUGGGCGUCAGUGCAUCAGUGCCAGCACCUUCUUCCGCCAUCAAUGCCUGUACACAAUCCCUACCAUCAUGCAGGUCUGGCAGAAUGAGAAGGCAGGGAUCAUCAGAGAACUGAAUGAGAUGGGGGGUGGGCUAAUCCUCUGGUGACUGCAGGUCAGACUCUCCUGGCCAUUGUGCCAAAUAUGGCACCUACUCUUUGAUCGAGGACAGAAUUAACAAGGUUUUGGAUCUUCAACUUGUCCAGAGCUCAGAGGUCCCAAACAGCACCUGGUGUGAGUUAGAGGGUCUGAAGCGCAGCAUAGAGUUUCUUAAGGAGCAACACAUGCAAGUGUCAGCCCUCAUCACAGACAGAAAGCGUCAGGUUGCCAAGUGGGUGCGGGAGGAGUUGUGUCCAGAAGGAACAAGCCAUUUCUUUGACAUCUGGCAUAUUGGUCUAGGGAAAGCUUUGGAUGCUGCUGCAAAGGAGAGAGGGUGUGAGGACCUGAGGCUGUGGAGGCAUUAUUAACCAUCUCUACUGGACUGCAGCUUCCUAAUGGAGAUCCAGAUGUGAUGUGCCAAGUGGCAAAGCAUGGUCAACCAUGUUCAGGAUAUCCAUGAACACGGCACUCCUGCAUUUUCCCGCUGUGCACAUCCACCUCUGGAGGGAGAAGCAAGGAACAAGGAGUGGCUGGAACCAGGUCCAUCAUGUAUGAAUCAUCAUAUUUUAUAUCUGGUGUUUCAGUCCAACAACCUUUUUCAAGGAUCAACUGUAGCAAUUAAACUGGAGAGUGUAGCUACUAGAACAGCACUGGUGAAGGAUGUUCGGCAGUUGUCCCCACAGCAUCAGACCUUUUCCCUGGCGGCAUCCCUCACUUUGCACCAAAGCACACUGGGUUCUCCUUCCUUGGGAUGUACAGCAGGUUGCCUGGGCGGGUAAGGUAUCACCACCCCGCCCCCUC